rnacentral:lncRNA from 1 species
GAAAAUACAAAAACGCAAAAAAUUCUUUUUUUUUGGAUUUUUGACUUGUAACACAUUUCAAAAUGCAAAAUAAGAAAUACAAUAACAAAAGUCUAGGCAAACUUAACUAGACAAUACAAACUCGAACAUCACCUAAAAGACUGAAUACUACUAUACAAGACUAGAAAAUAAAACAAAAACAAUUGACUCAAAAACAUAAAAUGGCUCCUCGAGCAGCUCCUGAAUGCAAUGAUCCUGGGGUAUCUGACAUGCUCAAACUCCGGAAAGUAGAUCCACACCUGUAUGAGAAAACUUAAACCAACACUAUGUGAGACAAUAACAUUCCCUAAGACACAUGCAAGACAUGAUUGAGGCUAUUUUUGCAAAAUGGCUUAUUUGGCCAAAAUAUGGCUAGAAGUGCAAAAUUUGCCUAAGACCCCGCAAAGCAAAGAACCUAAGAUUACUAGGAAGACCGGACCCUAUGUGGGUUUUCUACGUAUCACGCCUCGAAAGACAAGAAUCGGGUAUGCGUAGUUCGGACAAAUUGGAUACGGGCAAGAAUUUAAAAAACAACUAAUUUUAGAGAAAAUAUUUUUUUUGUCUUUUUUUUGAAAAAUGAUGAAACAUGCAAAAUCUUUUUGGAUUUUCUUUUUCCUUUUUUUUUAUUUUCGAAAAAUGAUGAAAAAAAUGCAAAAUCUUUUUGAAUUUUUCAUGCUUUUUUUUUGUCCUUUCUUAAUAAUAAUGUAACAAAAAGCAUAACUGGGCCCUACUUGUUUUAUCUUCACACUUCACCUUCUCUUUUUCUUUUCUUUUUUCUUUAUUUUUCAUUUGCCCUNNNNNNNNNNNNNNNNNNNNNNNNNNNNNNNNNNNNNNNNNNNNNNNNNNNNNNNNNNNNNNNNNNNNNNNNNNNNNNUUCCUCAGGAGAUAGAAGAGAGGGGUUCGUAGCAGUUUAUAUAUAUAGUUCAAAUAAUAUGAAAGCGGUAAAAACAACAUUUAGCACAUUAGGCCCAAACAUGUAAUAAAAUCAGAUAAUAAAUAAAGCCAAAUAUAACAAUUCAUCUAAGCUUGAAUUCUGAACCCUGAACCAGAGAUUCUGGGUUCGGUCCCCAGCAGAGUCGCCAGAGCUGUCACACCUCCUUUUUUCCUACACCCGCGUAAAGGGAUGUAUAGGGAGUUUUUCCAAUUAAAGUGACAAUCGAAAUGGGAUUAUUUAUUUAUUAAAUUCAGAGUAGCCACUUGUGAUAAUUUUAUGGUGUCCCAAGUCACCGGUUCAAAUCCCGAAUCGAGGAAAAGAUUGAUUCUGUUUUACAGUCCGCGAACACAAAAAUCCGGGUAAGGAAUUCUGUUAACCCGGGAGAAGGUGUUAGGCAAUCCCGAGUUCCGUGGUUCUAGCACGGUCGCUCAACUAUUAUAAUUGGCCUAUUAUCUUAUUUUAGUACAUGUUUUAGCCUAUAGUUCCAUUUUAACUUUUACCGUUUUUAUUCAAUUAUGUUUAGGAAAUAUUUCAACGUUAUUAAAAUACGUCUUGAACCACGUCACAUAAAUGCACUCGCGAUCCUCGACAUAUUUUAUCUAAUAUUGUUGAGAUUUGGAUUUGGGUCACAUAAAUGCGCACCCGAGUUUAGGAAGGUAAUUUUAAGAUAGCGCGCCUAAAGCAACUACGCACUUUCAAGUUUGCGAGGGCCAUGGAAAAUUCAACUAAUGGCACACUUCGAUUUCUAACAGUUAAAAUAAUUAAUGGAGGGCCAAGGGUUUUGAGAUUUUAUUUGGCAUGACACGCCUCGAAUUAUUCUUAAAGGGUUUUAUUAUUCGAAGUCAUUACAAUCGGGUCACAUGAAAUGCACCCCCAAAUUUUGGAAUUAGACAUCGCAACUAUGUCACGGGAACCGUACCCAUAGUCACAAUGGUUUAUUAAUCACGCCUAAAGCAACUAGCACAUUUGAAUUAUUUUCCUAAUCUUGAGAUUAUUGUGAAGGCCACGAAUUAUGAGAGUCAUUUGUGAAAAUGGGGUUAGCCAUUGAUUUAGUAACAGAUUCAAAUCCUACGGCAUAGUAACAAUCACAUAUAGCGUGGGUAAUUGCGAUAGUACUUUGCACCAAAACGAGAGAUUGUCUCAUGUGAUAAAAAUGAAAAGAAGCUAAUUAAUAAGGGACACAUAAAAGAUAACAAUUUCACUUGGCGUGGGUCAUCAGAAGCACGUCACCUUCGGCAUUUCUAAAUAUGCAGUGCGUUUGCAUUAACUUUGCAGUUCGACAAUUGCUAUUCUCGGGCGUAAGUCAGCUGUUUAUGGGGUAGUUCAAAUUAUCCAAAUGUGAUCUCACAAGACUACCAUAAAUGGAUAGAUUUGUUAACUAAUAACUGCUACAAAUAUGUAAAUAUACAACAACAUUCUGAAAUAAACUACAAACAAACACCCAAUAUUAUCAACAUUUUCACGUACCGGACAAAACAAGGCAAUUGAGAUUAUGAAUCCAAACAAGGGAAUUUCAUUAAAAAAUGUUCUCCUCAACUUAUUCAAAUCUCCUGAUUUUUACCAUUAGCUUAAGUUGCGCAAAACCAAAUCGAUGUCCCCUCAAAACUCAAAUUAGCGAGCAAGAACCUUCAAUGGACGCGUAAGUGGCAAGAUUUAAGAAAAUUUCAUAAUCAAACUUACGUACUAAUGGGUUAUCAUAAUCAAACCUUUUUUAUCAGAAGACUAUCAUGUAAAAUAAAAUAAAAGAAAAUAAAUCUAGAUUUCAUAGAAAUGCACUGAAAUUUAAACAGGCUAGAAUUAAAAUUAAAAAUUAUACAAGUUCGCGGAUGUGUACCUAGUCACCAAUAAUCAAAAGAACCUAAAAAAAAAUCUGAACAACAGGAUCUCCAUGUGUGUGUGUACGCUUAAACUACAAAGAAUGGGAAGAAGAAGGGGACACCAUGGGAGCUUUGUUGUUUUCUGGAAAAAAUGAGAGAGGAGGAGGAAGUUUAGGAGCGCCGUUUUGUAAUGGUAGGGGUCUGAUCCUUUUUUUUUUCUUAGGUAUUUUAAUUAUGUUUUAUAGGUAUGAG